rnacentral:tRNA from 1 species
ACUUAAGUAGUUUAAAAUAAAAUUAUGAUUUGUGGUAUCAUAGAUAUAAAGUGUUUAUCUUAAGUU